rnacentral:rRNA from 1 species
UGACCAGACUCCUACGGGAGGCAGCAGUGGGGGAUAUUGCACAAUGGGGGAAACCCUGAUGCAGCGACGCCGCGUGAGUGAAGAAGUAAUUCGUUCCGUAAAGCUCUAUCAGCAGGGAAGAAAAUGACGGUACCUGACUAAGAAGCCCCGGCUAACUACGUGCCAGCAGCCGCGGUAAUACGUAGGGGGCAAGCGUUAUCCGGAAUUACUGGGUGUAAAGGGUGAGUAGGCGGCAUGGUAAGCCAGAUGUGAAAGCCUUGGGCUUAACCCGAGGAUUGCAUUUGGAACUAUCAAGCUAGAGUACAGGAGAGGAAAGCGGAAUUCCUAGUGUAGCGGUGAAAUGCGUAGAUAUUAGGAGGAACACCAGUGGCGAAGGCGGUCUGCUGGACAGCAACUGACGCUGAGGCGCGAAAGCGUGGGGAGCAAACAGGAUUAGAUACCCCCGUA